AAUAGAUACCCGGGUAGUCCACGCUGUAAACGUUGGACACUAGGUGUGGCGGUCUGAUCAACGACUGCCGUGCCGAAGCUAACGCAUUAAGUGUCCCGCCUGGGGAGUACGGCCGCAAGGCUAAAACUCAAAGGAAUUGACGGGUCCCCGCACAAGCGGCGGAGCAUGCGGCUUAAUUCGAUGCAACCCGAAGAACCUUACCUGGGUUUGACAUCAUGGGAAAAGCCGUGGAAACACGGUGUCCGAAAGGGCCCAUGACAGGUGGUGCAUGGCUGUCGUCAGCUCGUGUCGUGAGAUGUUGGGUUAAGUCCCGCAACGAGCGCAACCCUUGUCCUAUGUUGCCAGCGGUUCGGCCGGGGACUCAUAGGAGACUGCCGGGGAUAACUCGGAGGAAGGUGAGGACGAUGUCAAGUCAUCAUGCCCCUUAUAUCCAGGGCUGCACGCAUGCUACAAUGGUCGGUACAACGGGUCAGCGAUCCUGCGAAGGUGAGCGAAUCCCACAAAGCCGGCUCAGUUCGGA
rnacentral:rRNA from 1 species